UCAGGCUGGAGGAGAAUGGCAUUGCCAGAAGAUUGUACUUUUGCAAGACAAAGCUUUCAGCACCAAACCUAAAACCUUCUGGUUUUGCCAGGUAACAAUAUGUUUUGCACCAGUUUGCCCUGUCCUGCAUGGCCAUGAAGCCACUGGGACACUUCACCCCCCCACGGUCACAGCUGAUUUCUGACAGCAUGGGCAAGCCAGGGAUGGAGCCUGUGGGGAGGGAAGGUGGGUGGCUUUGUUCCAUCUCCUUCCGUGGCUGGGUGCCACCCUGCUCCCCACUCCUGCAGCUUCUUUUGGGUGCCUGCAGGUCCACAAAACCUCACAGCAAGACAGAGAUUCCACAUGGCACCAACCUAGCCCAGAGCAUGCAGGCUUCUCCCAGGAGUUUCAGGGAUUUGGUGUUCCUCCUGCCAACCUCGCUGAAGGGACAAAGCUGCCUGUGCCAGAGGUACCAAGAACUGCUGAUGUUCAGCCCCAGGCUGCGACUGCAUGUGGCCAAGCCAACCUGAGAAUGUCACUGGCCAAGUUCAUGCCCAAAAGGAUAUCUGCUGGUGGCUUUGGAGGUGCAGCAGGAUAUUUGGAACUGCAGCCCCACAGAAGGUGUAUCUGAAGGGGGAUACACUAUUUGUGAGGGUCAGCUGGCAGUCAUAGCCAGCAGAUGUAUCUUCAGUGAGGAAUAACAUCAUCAGGUGAGUGCUUGUACGUGGGCCAGGAGGUACAGAUGCUGUGGGCACAGAACUUCCUGCUGGUACUGCCCCAGUUUUGACCAAUCUAAUAAACUGAAUUAUCAUAUUCCAUUAUAUAAUUCCAGUUACACUGGGAUUAAAAUUAGGUCAUCAGUUCAAGUCCUGUAAAAGCCCAUUCACUCCCAGUUCUCAGUUCUGUACUCAAACCUCUACAGCCAGCUGCCUUUUUCAUACUAGAAAGGUAUGAUGAAAAAAUUGCAGUAUAAAAUAAAUGCUACAUUUGUUUUAU